rnacentral:rRNA from 1 species
CGCCUGUUUAUUAAAAACAUGGUUUUUUGAUAAUAAUUUAAGAUCUGACCUGCCCUAUGAUGAAAAUUAAAUGGCUGCAGUAUUUUGACUGUGCAAAGGUAGCAUAAUCAUUAGUUUUUUAAUUGAAAGCUGGUAUGAAAGGUUGAAUGAAAAAAUAACUGUCUCUAUAGAAUUUUAAUAGAAUUUUAUUUUUAAGUUAAAAAGCUUAAAUUUAUAUUGAAGACGAGAAGACCCUAUAGAGUUUUAUAUUGAUAUUUGUUAAAAUUUUUAGGAUUUAUAUUUUUAAUGGGUAAAAAUAUUUAGUUGGGGUGAUUGGAAAAUUAAUUAAACUUUUCUUGACUUGAAACAUUGAUUUAUGGUUGAAUGAUCCUUUUUAGAUUAAAAGAUAAAAUUACCUUAGGGAUAACAGCGUAAUUUUUUUUUAGAGUUCCAAUUGAAAAAAAAGAUUGCGACCUCGAUGUUGGAUUAAAAUUAAGUUUUGGUGUAGCAGCUAAAAUUUUAGGUCUGUUCGACCUUUAAUAUUUUACAUGAUCKGAGUUUAAACCGG